AGAAAAGCAGGGGAUCGCAAGACCUUGCGCUUUUGGAGCGGCCGAUGUCUGAUUAGCUAGUUGGUGAGGUAAAGGCUUACCAAGGCUUCGAUCAGUAGCUGGUCUGAGAAGACGACCAGCCACACUGGGACUGAGACACGGCCCAGACUCCUACGGGAGGCAGCAGUGGGGAAUUUUGGACAAUGGGGGAAACCCUGAUCCAGCCAUGCCGCGUGAGUGAAGAAGGCCUUCGGGUUGUAAAGCUCUUUCAGCCGGAACGAAAAGGUUACGGUUAAUACCCGUGACUAAUGACGGUACCGGAAGAAGAAGCACCGGCUAACUACGUGCCAGCAGCCGCGGUAAUACGUAGGGUGCGAGCGUUAAUCGGAAUUACUGGGCGUAAAGCGUGCGCAGGCGGUUUUGUAAGUCAGAUGUGAAUCCCCGGGCUCAACCUGGGAACUGCGUUUGAAACUACAAAGCU
rnacentral:rRNA from 1 species